rnacentral:rRNA from 1 species
CUAUGCGCCUUGCCAGCCCGCUCAGUCAGAGUUUGAUCCUGGCUCAGAUUGAACGCUGGCGGCAGGCCUAACACAUGCAAGUCGAGCGGUAGCACAAGAGAGCUUGCUCUCUGGGUGACGAGCGGCGGACGGGUGAGUAAUGUCUGGGAAACUGCCUGAUGGCGGGGGAUAACUAGUGGAAACGGUAGCUAAUACCGCAUAACGUCGCAAGACCAAAGUGGGGGACCUUCGGGCCUCACGCCAUCAGAUGUGCCCAGGUGGGAUUAGCUGGUAGGUGGGGUAACGGCUCACCUAGGCGACGAUCCCUAGCUGGUCUGAGAGGAUGACCAGCCACACUGGAACUGAGACACGGUCCAG